CAGCCGCCGCGGUAAUACGUAUGUCACAAGCGUUAUCCGGAUUUAUUGGGCGUAAAGCGCGUCUAGGUGGUUAUGUAAGUCUGAUGUGAAAAUGCAGGGCUCAACUCUGUAUUGCGUUGGAAACUGUGUAACUAGAGUACUGGAGAGGUAAGCGGAACUACAAGUGUAGAGGUGAAAUUCGUAGAUAUUUGUAGGAAUGCCGAUGGGGAAGCCAGCUUACUGGACAGAUACUGACGCUGAAGCGCGAAAGCGUGGGGAGCGAACAGGAUUAGAUACCCCAGUAGUCCCUGUCUCUUAUACA
rnacentral:rRNA from 1 species